AAGGACUGUGCUCCCAAUCCGCUUACGCUCAAGGAAGAACUGGAAGGCCCAGAACCAGCCUGCUGUCAGGAUCAGAACAAAAGAGGAGGACUGCAUAUGUAUGGACCCACUCCAGAUGGCACGGGGACGGGGGGAGUAGGAAAAGUGGCAUGGUCCCUUCCCGUGGAUAUAAUUCUUCCCAGGCCUGUUGUGUGAGUUGGUGAUGCCAUCAUUCCUGCCUCACACUUGCAAACUUCCCUCUUUGGAAUUUCAGAGACCAGGCCCACAGAGUAUGGCUGUGCAAGUUGUUCACUCUACAAGGGCACCUGGCCGGGCUCUCUGGUGGAGCCUCUGUCUCACAGGUCACCUGCAGGCCAACACUCCCAGAAGCAGCUAGCACCAUGGUUGACCUCGUCCAGGUCCAGGGAAGGCCUCCCUCUCCAGGACU
rnacentral:lncRNA from 10 species